rnacentral:rRNA from 1 species
UACGGGGGGAGCAAGCGUUGUUCGGAUUUACUGGGCGUAAAGGGCGCGUAGGCGGCCUCUGCAAGUCGACUGUGAAAUCUCCGGGCUUAACCCGGAAAGGUCAGCCGAUACUGCAGGGCUAGAGUGCAGAAGGGGCAACUGGAAUUCUCGGUGUAGCGGUGAAAUGCGUAGAUAUUGGGAGGAACACCAAUGGCGAAGGCAGCUCGCUGGGACGGUACUGACGCUGAGGCGCGAAAGCGUGGGGAGCAACAGGG